rnacentral:rRNA from 1 species
AACGAACGCUGGCGGCAUGCCUAACACAUGCAAGUCGAACGAGACCUUCGGGUCUAGUGGCGCACGGGUGCGUAACGCGUGGGAAUCUGCCCUUGGGUUCGGGAUAACAGUUGGAAACGACUGCUAAUACCGGAUGAUGUCUUCGGACCAAAGAUUUAUCGCCCAGGGAUGAGCCCGCGUCGGAUUAGCUAGUUGGUAGGGUAAAAGCCUACCAAGGCGACGAUCCGUAGCUGGUCUGAGAGGAUGAUCAGCCACACUGGGACUGAGACACGGCCCAGACUCCUACGGGAGGCAGCAGUGGGGAAUAUUGGACAAUGGGCGAAAGCCUGAUCAAGCAAUGCCGCGUGAGUGAUGAAGGCCUUAGGGUUGUAAAGCUCUUUUACCCGGGAUGAUAAUGACAGUACCGGGAGAAUAAGCCCCGGCUAACUCCGUGCCAGCAGCCGCCGUAACAC